ensembl:ncRNA R07D5.8 ncRNA
AAAAAGAAAAGAAAGAAAAAGGAACAGAAACACAACAAUAGGAAGACGUGUUUGAUAGCGGGUGGGCCCCCCCGGCUCCCGAAAGUGUUGACAAAGUGUGGAAAGAAGAAGAAAAGAGGCAUCUUCCCGGACAAAAA